UUUGAAUUCAGCUCGUUAAGGGCUUCAAAAUAAGUAUAAUCAUGACUAGGUUUUGCCAAUUUUGAA
ensembl:ncRNA T26E3.14 ncRNA